rnacentral:rRNA from 1 species
GGGUUGUGAGGUUAAGCGACUAAGCGUACACGGUGGAUGCCCUGGCAGUCAGAGGCGAUGAAGGACGUGCUAAUCUGCGAUAAGCGUCGGUAAGGUGAUAUGAACCGUUAUAACCGGCGAUUUCCGAAUGGGGAAACCCAGUGUGUUUCGACACACUAUCAUUAACUGAAUCCAUAGGUUAAUGAGGCGAACCGGGGGAACUGAAACAUCUAAGUACCCCGAGGAAAAGAAAUCAACCGAGAUUCCCCCAGUAGCGGCGAGCGAACGGGGAGCAGCCCAGAGCCUGAAUCAGUGUGUGUGUUAGUGGAAGCGUCUGGAAAGGCGCGCGAUACAGGGUGACAGCCCCGUACACAAAAAUGCACAUACUGUGAGCUCGAUGAGUAGGGCGGGACACGUGGUAUCCUGUCUGAAUAUGGGGGGACCAUCCUCCAAGGCUAAAUACUCCUGACUGACCGAUAGUGAACCAGUACCGUGAGGGAAAGGCGAAAAGAACCCCGGCGAGGGGAGUGAAAAAGAACCUGAAACCGUGUACGUACAAGCAGUGGGAGCACGCUUCGGCGUGUGACUGCGUACCUUUUGUAUAAUGGGUCAGCGACUUAUAUUCUGUAGCAAGGUUAACCGAAUAGGGGAGCCGAAGGGAAACCGAGUCUUAACUGGGCGUUAAGUUGCAGGGUAUAGACCCGAAACCCGGUGAUCUAGCCAUGGGCAGGUUGAAGGUUGGGUAACACUAACUGGAGGACCGAACCGACUAAUGUUGAAAAAUUAGCGGAUGACUUGUGGCUGGGGGUGAAAGGCCAAUCAAACCGGGAGAUAGCUGGUUCUCCCCGAAAGCUAUUUAGGUAGCGCCUCGUGAAUUCAUCUCCGGGGGUAGAGCACUGUUUCGGCAAGGGGGUCAUCC